rnacentral:rRNA from 1 species
UCCGUAGGUGGAUAAUUAAGUCAGAGGUGAAAGUCUGCAGCUCAACUGUAGAAUUGCCUUUGAUACUGGUUAUCUUGAGUCAUUGUGAAGUAGUUAGAAUAUGUAGUGUAGCGGUGAAAUGCAUAGAUAUUACAUAGAAUACCAAUUGCGAAGGCAGAUUACUAACAAUGUACUGACACUGAUGGACGAAAGCGUGGGGAGCGAACA